GUUGGGUAGGGGAGCGUUCUGUAAGCCUGUGAAGGUGGCCUGUGAGGGUUGCUGGAGGUAUCAGAAGUGCGAAUGCUGACAUAAGUAACGAUAAAGCGGGUGAAAAGCCCGCUCGCCGGAAGACCAAGGGUUCCUGUCCAACGUUAAUCGGGGCAGGGUGAGUCGACCCCUAAGGCGAGGCCGAAAGGCGUAGUCGAUGGGAAACGGGUUAAUAUUCCCGUACUUGGUGUUACUGCGAAGGGGGGACGGAGAAGGCUAUGUUGGCCGGGCGACGGUUGUCCCGGUUUAAGCGUGUAGGUGUGUGUUCCAGGUAAAUCCGGUUCACUUUAACACUGAGGCGUGAUGACGAGGCACUACGGUGCUGAAGCAACAAAUGCCCUGCUUCCAGGAAAAGCCUCUAAGCAUCAGGUAACAUCAAAUCGUACCCCAAACCGACACAGGUGGUCAGGUAGAGAAUACCAAGGCGCUUGAGAGAACUCGGGUGAAGGAACUAGGCAAAAUGGUGCCGUAACUUCGGGAGAAGGCACGCUGACAUGUAGGUGAAGUGAUUUACUCAUGGAGCUGAAGUCAGUCGAAGAUACCAGCUGGCUGCAACUGUUUAUUAAAAACACAGCACUGUGCAAACACGAAAGUGGACGUAUACGGUGUGACGCCUGCCCGGUGCCGGAAGGUUAAUUGAUGGGGUCAGCGCAAGCGAAGCUCCUGAUCGAAGCCCCGGUAAACGGCGGCCGUAACUAUAACGGUCCUAAGGUAGCGAAAUUCCUUGUCGGGUAAGUUCCGACCUGCACGAAUGGCGUAAUGAUGGCCAGGCUGUCUCCACCCGAGACUCAGUGAAAUUGAACUCGCUGUGAAGAUGCAGUGUACCCGCGGCAAGACGGAAAGACCCCGUGAACCUUUACUAUAGCUUGACACUGAACAUUGAGCCUUGAUGUGUAGGAUAGGUGGGAGGCUUUGAAGCGUGGACGCCAGUCUGCGUGGAGCCGGCCUUGAAAUACCACCCUUUAAUGUUUGAUGUUCUAACGUGGACCCGUGAUCCGGGUUGCGGACAGUGUCUGGUGGGUAGUUUGACUGGGGCGGUCUCCUCCUAAAGAGUAACGGAGGAGCACGAAGGUUGGCUAAUCCUGGUCGGACAUCAGGAGGUUAGUGCAAUGGCAUAAGCCAGCUUGACUGCGAGCGUGACGGCGCGAGCAGGUGCGAAAGCAGGUCAUAGUGAUCCGGUGGUUCUGAAUGGAAGGGCCAUCGCUCAACGGAUAAAAGGUACUCCGGGGAUAACAGGCUGAUACCGCCCAAGAGUUCAUAUCGACGGCGGUGUUUGGCACCUCGAUGUCGGCUCAUCACAUCCUGGGGCUGAAGUAGGUCCCAAGGGUAUGGCUGUUCGCCAUUUAAAGUGGUACGCGAGCUGGGUUUAGAACGUCGUGAGACAGUUCGGUCCCUAUCUGCCGUGGGCGCUGGAGAACUGAGGGGGGCUGCUCCUAGUACGAGAGGACCGGAGUGGACGCAUCACUGGUGUUCGGGUUGUCAUGCCAAUGGCACUGCCCGGUAGCUAAAUGCGGAAGAGAUAAGUGCUGAAAGCAUCUAAGCACGAAACUUGCCCCGAGAUGAGUUCUCCCUGAGACUUAAAGUCUCCUGAAGGAACGUUGAAGACGACGACGUUGAUAGGCCGGGUGUGUAAGCGCAGCGAUGCGUUGAGCUAACCGGUACUA
rnacentral:rRNA from 1 species